UGAGGAAUAUUGGUCAAUGGUCGCAAGACUGAACCAGCCAUGCCGCGUGCAGGAUGACGGCCCUAUGGGUUGUAAACUGCUUUUCUCUGGGAAUAAACCCCUUUACGUGUAAAGGGCUGAAGGUACCAGAGGAAUAAGGACCGGCUAACUUCGUGCCAGCAGCCGCGGUAAUACGAAGGGUCCAAGCGUUAUCCGGAUUCAUUGGGUUUAAAGGGUGCGCAGGCGGGGCUUUAAGUCAGUGGUGAAAUCCCUUCGCUCAACGAAGGAACUGCCAUUGAUACUGAAGCUCUUGAAUGUAGUUGACGUUAGUGGAAUGUGUCAUGUAGCGGUGAAAUGCUUAGAUAUGACACAGAACACCGAUCGCGAAGGCAGCUAACGAAGCUAUUAUUGACGCUCAGGC
rnacentral:rRNA from 1 species